rnacentral:rRNA from 1 species
CCUACGGGAGGCAGCAGUGGGGAAUCUUGCACAAUGGAGGAAACUCUGAUGCAGCGAUGCCGCGUGAGUGAAGAAGGCCUUUGGGUUGUAAAGCUCUUUUGUAGGGGAAGAUAAUGACUGUACCCUAAGAAUAAGGUCCGGCUAACUUCGUGCCAGCAGCCGCGGUAAUACGAAGGGACCUAGCGUAGUUCGGAAUUACUGGGCGUAAAGCGCGCGUAGGCCGUUGAGUUAGUUAAUUGUGAAAUCCCAAAGCUUAACUUUGGAACUGCAAUUAAAACUGCUCGACUAGAGUUUGAUAGAGGAAAGCGGAAUACAUAGUGUAGAGGUGAAAUUCGUAGAUAUUAUGUAGAACACCAGUUGCGAAGGCGACUUUCUGGAUCAACACUGACGCUGAGGCGCGAAAGUAUGGGUAGCAAAGAGGAUUAGAUACCCUCGUAGUCCAUACCAUAAACGAUGAUUGCUAGAUGUUGGAAAUUUAUUUUCAGUAUCGCAGCUAACGCAUUAAGCAAUCCGCCUGGGGAGUACGACCGCAAGGUUAAAACUCAAAUGAAUUGACGG